rnacentral:rRNA from 1 species
ACGGAAUAGAUACCCCGGUAGUCCCAGCCGUAAACGAUGCUCGCUAGGUGUCAGGCAUGGCGCGACCGUGUCUGGUGCCGCAGGGAAGCCGUGAAGCGAGCCACCUGGGAAGUACGGCCGCAAGGCUGAAACUUAAAGGAAUUGGCGGGGGAGCACAACAACGGGUGGAGCCUGCGGUUUAAUUGGACUCAACGCCGGACAACUCACCGGGGGCGACAGCAAUAUGUAGGCCAGGCUGAAGACCUUGCCUGAAUCGCUGAGAGGAGGUGCAUGGCCGUCGCCAGUUCGUACUGUGAAGCAUCCUGUUAAGUCAGGCAACGAGCGAGACCCGUGCCCACUGUUACCAGCAUGUCCUCAGGGACGAUGGGUACUCUGUGGGGACCGCCGGUGUUAAAUCGGAGGAAGGUGCGGGCCACGGUAGGUCAGUAUGCCCCGAAUCUCCCGGGCUACACGCGGGCUACAAUGGAUGGGACAAUGGGUCCCUACCCCGAAAGGGAUGGUAAUCUCAUAAACCCAUUCCUAGUUCGGAUCGA